UACGGGGGGUGCAAGCGUUGUUCGGAAUUACUGGGCGUAAAGGGUCUGUAGGUGGCCAACUAAGUCAGACGUGAAAUCCCUCAGCUUAACUGGGGAACUGCGUCUGAUACUGGUUGGCUUGAGUGCAGGAGAGGAAUGCGGAAUUCCAGGUGUAGCGGUGAAAUGCGUAGAUAUCUGGAGGAACACCGGUGGCGAAGGCAAUCCCCUGGACCUGUACUGACGCUCAUGCACGAAAGCGUGGGGAGCAAACAGG
rnacentral:rRNA from 1 species